rnacentral:rRNA from 1 species
AGCUAGUUGGUGAGGUAACGGCCCACCAAGGCGACGAUCGGUAGCCGAACUGAGAGGUUGAACGGCCACAUUGGGACUGAGACACGGCCCAGACUCCUACGGGAGGCAGCAGUGGGGAAUAUUGCACAAUGGGGGAAACCCUGAUGCAGCGACGCCGCGUGGAGGAAGAAGGUCUUCGGAUUGUAAACUCCUGUUGUUGAGGAAGAUAAUGACGGUACUCAACAAGGAAGUGACGGCUAACUACGUGCCAGCAGCCGCGGUAAAACGUAGGUCACAAGCGUUGUCCGGAAUUACUGGGUGUAAAGGGAGCGCAGGCGGGAAGACAAGUUGGAAGUGAAAUCCAUGGGCUUAACCCAUGAACUGCUUUCAAAACUGUUUUUCUUGAGUAGUGCAGAGGUAGGCGGAAUUCCCGGUGUAGCGGUGGAAUGCGUAGAUAUCGGGAGGAACACCAGUGGCGAAGGCGGCCUACUGGGCACCAACUGACGCUGAGGCUCGAAAGUGUGGGUAGCAAACAGGAUUAGAUACCCUGGUAGUCCACACCGUAAACGAUGAUUACUAGGUGUUGGAGGAUUGACCCCUUCAGUGACGCAGUUAACACAAUAAGUAAUCCACCUGGGGAGUACGACCGCAAGGUUGAAACUCAAAGGAAUUGACGGGGGCCCGCACAAGCAGUGGAGUAUGUGGUUUAAUUCGACGCAACGCGAAGAACCUUACCAAGUCUUGACAUCCUGUGACAGACGUAGAAAUACGUUCUUCCUUCGGGACACAGAGACAGGUGGUGCAUGGUUGUCGUCAGCUCGUGUCGUGAGAUGUUGGGUUAAGUCCCGCAACGAGCGCAACCCUUAUGGUCAGUUACUACGCAAGAGGACUCUGGCCAGACUGCCGUUGACAAAACGGAGGAAGGUGGGGAUGACGUCAAAUCAUCAUGCCCUUUAUGACUUGGGCUACACACGUACUACAAUGGCGUUAAACAAAGAGAAGCAAGACCGCGAGGUGGAGCAAAACUCAGAAACAACGUCCCAGUUCGGACUGCAGGCUGCAACUCGCCUGCACGAAGUCGGAAUUGCUAGUAAUCGUGGAUCAGCAUGCCACGGUGAAUACGUUCCCGGGCCUUGUACAUACCGCCCGUCACACCAUGAGAGCCGGGGGGACCCGAAGUCGGUAGUCUAACCGCAAGGAGGACGCCGCCGAAGGUAAAACUGGUGAUUGGGGUGAAGUCGUAACAAGGUAGCCGUAGGAGAACCUGCGGCUG